GGGGAUAUAACUCAGUUGGUAGAGUGCUUGCCUUGCAUGCACAAGGCCCUGGGUUCGAUCCCCAGCACCA
rnacentral:tRNA from 1 species